rnacentral:rRNA from 1 species
AACCCUUGACAUCCCUAUCGCGAUUUCCAGAGAUGGAUAUCAUCAGUUCGGCUGGAUAGGUGACAGGUGCUGCAUGGCUGUCGUCAGCUCGUGUCGUGAGAUGUUGGGUUAAGUCCCGCAACGAGCGCAACCCUUAUCAUUAGUUGCUAACAUUUAGUUGAGAACUCUAAUGAGACUGCCGGUGAUAAACCGGAGGAAGGCGGGGACGACGUCAAGUCAUCAUGGCCCUUAUGGGAUGGGCUACACACGUGCUACAAUGGGGGGUACAAAGAGCAGCCAACUGGCGACAGUGCGCGAAUCUCAUAAAACCUCUCGUAGUCCGGAUCGGAGUCUGCAACUCGACUCCGUGAAGUCGGAAUCGCUAGUAAUCGUGAAUCAGAAUGUCACGGUGAAUACGUUCCCGGGCCU